rnacentral:rRNA from 1 species
CCCGCUCAGAAACUACAAAGGAAUUGACGGGGGCCCGCACAAGCGGUGGAGCAUGUGGUUUAAUUCGAAGCAACGCGAAGAACCUUACCAGGCCUUGACAUGCAGAGAACUUUCCAGAGAUGGAUUGGUGCCUUCGGGAACUCUGACACAGGUGCUGCAUGGCUGUCGUCAGCUUGUGUCGUGAGAUGUUGGGUUAAGUCCCGCAACGAGCGCAACCCUUGCCUUUAGUUGCCAGCAGUUCGGCUGGGCACUCUAAAGGGACUGCCGGUGUUAAACCGGAGGAAGGUGGGGAUGACGUCAAGUCCUCAUGGCCUUUAUGACCAGGGCUACACACGUACUACAAUGGCCGAUACAAAGGGCAGCGACACUGCGAGGUGAAGCCAAUCCCGUAAAAUCGGUCUCAGUCCGGAUUGGAGUCUGCAACUCGACUCCAUGAAGUUGGAAUCGCUAGUAAUCGUGGAUCAGCAUGCCACGGUGAAUACGUUCCCGGGCCUU